rnacentral:rRNA from 2 species
GGUUAAGCGACUAAGCGUACACGGUGGAUGCCCUGGCAGUCAGAGGCGAUGAAGGGCGUGCUAAUCUGCGAUAAGCGCCGGUAAGGUGAUAUGAACCGUUAUAACCGGCGAUACCCGAAUGGGGAAACCCAGUGUGACUCGUCACACUAUCAUUAACUGAAUCCAUAGGUUAAUGAGGCGAACCGGGGGAACUGAAACAUCUAAGUACCCCGAGGAAAAGAAAUCAACCGAGAUUCCCCCAGUAGCGGCGAGCGAACGGGGAGGAGCCCAGAGCCUGAAUCAGCAUGUGUGUUAGUGGAAGCGUCUGGAAAGGCGCGCGAUACAGGGUGACAGCCCCGUACACAAAAGCGCAUGUGCUGUGAGCUCGAUGAGUAGGGCGGGACACGUGGUAUCCUGUCUGAAUAUGGGGGGACCAUCCUCCAAGGCUAAAUACUCCUGACUGACCGAUAGUGAACCAGUACCGUGAGGGAAAGGCGAAAAGAACCCCGGCGAGGGGAGUGAAAAAGAACCUGAAACCGUGUACGUACAAGCAGUGGGAGCACCCUUUGGGUGUGACUGCGUACCUUUUGUAUAAUGGGUCAGCGACUUAUAUUCUGUAGCAAGGUUAACCGAAUAGGGGAGCCGGAGGGAAACC